GUGCUCAGUUAGGCAGCACAAAUACUAACUCUGGAGUGAUACGGAGAUUAGCAUGGCUCCUGAGCAGGGGUGACAGACAAAUCUGUGAGGCAUUCCACACUGUU
ensembl:snRNA U6 U6 spliceosomal RNA